CGCUAUUUGUUGUCCACGUAACGCGACCUAAAAGGUUGUUCCCCUCAUCUCUCAUCUCUCCACGCCUCACGACCUACCUAAAGGCGAGGGCGCCGCCGCCGCAACCCCGACCGGAGAUGCUCCAGCGUUUUGACGCGCACGGCCGUCCCCCGCCGGCAUCUGCGCCCCGUACGCCGGCAUGCUUCGGGAUUUCCCGGCUUGCGUCGCCUGUGGAUCGAGGAGCGGGAGGCCCGGAGCGCCUGUCAUCCUUCAGAAAUUCCCCAUGGCAGAGACGGUGCGAUGGUAGCUGACUUAUAUGGUCGGCCUCUGUCGAUGUGUAACGGCAAACUGGUCCGGUGAGUUGAUCUGACUGAUGGGAAGUACGGUGCAUCGCCGCCCUGCUCCGGUAAAUGUUCUAUGUAGACUCCAGGCAGGCAGUAUAGUUCUCGUAGAUCUGCUCGAGGAGCAUCCCUCUAUGGCGUUGACCGCCACAGAUCUGAAGGUACCGGUGGGCGACUCAGAUCUGCAAGGAGACGUGCGGACCUCCAUUACUAGACCCACGGCAAGUGUCUGAUGCAUGCUAUCGGCGAUGUGAUUCAGCGAUGUAAUUUUGUGCUAAUGAUGCGGCUGCGGUGGCACGUUGGCCCGGAUCUAGCUUUCUCAUGUACCCAUCCCUGCCUGGUGCAAUUGUUAGUGAUGCCGCUGCAAAGCCCGGCCUAGAUCUGUUAUAAUAUAUGUUGGUCUUUGCUGAUGAAGGCAGGAGUCUGCUCAGAUGCGUGAUACAGGAGGAUGACCUCGGCUUGCAAGUUUGUUUGGUGUGCAUUGGUUGUAGUUAUACUGCCUCGAGGGCCUUGGAAGCACCAGGAUGAUGCGAUGGUUGCCAGAGGAGAUCAAUUGCUUCACUUGAAGGUUGGGCAGGCCGUUGAUAAAACAGCACCAAGUUAAGUUGAAUGUUUUGUCGAUAAGUCAAGUUACUAAUUGAUUAUUAUGUCUGACGACUUAAACUUGUCUGUGACGGCUGUUCAGGUAAUUAGUUGAAUUAUGUACAUUGUGCUGCUAGCCGUUGUACAAUAAUUAUUGGGAGUUAUAAUGUGUACCAUUGAAAUUUUGUUGUAUCUGCUAUACAUGUCUAUUAUUUCAAAAUAAGCUUUUCAUAUUCAUGAUAUGCAAUUGUAAUAUUUAUCAUGGAAAUUUUUGGUGUGCACUGUUUGAUUAAACGAUGGCUUAGAAAUUUAUACAACUAGCAAAUUUAACACAGAACAAUAUUGCUAUCAUACAAUUGUAGUAUUUUAUAUGAGUAGCUAUUGAGCUAGUCAUGGACACGAGUGCGUGGAAGUUAGCUAUCCAAGUGCUAGAACCAUGAGUUGGUUUCGAGACCUUAUGCGUUUCAGCUCUACCCUACACCAACUUGUACUAAAGGCUCUGUUGUUGUUGUUACACAAUCAUCAUAAUUUCUAUGUGUGCAGCCACUAGAUAGUUAUUAUGUGAAAUUUCUAGUGUAUAUCAUUGCAAAUUUAGUUGUACUUGCUAUCGAUGUCUAUAGUUCUAUAUUGAUGAGAAAAAUGUUGUACCGAUUCAUAAUAUGCAAUUCAAAAUCUCAUCAUCGAAAAUUUUGUAUACAUCAUUUGCCAAAAUGAUGGCUUGAACAUGGUUACUUGUUAUUCAUGUAAAAAGGACAGACCCAGUGCAUAGAAGCUCCCACACAAGGUGGGGUCUGGGGAGGGAUUAUAGGAACCUAGUCUUACCCCUGCAAAGUGCAAUGCAGAGAGGCUGGUUCGAACCCAGGACCUCUUGGCACAAGUGGGGAGGACUUCACCACUGCGCCAGGCCUGCCCUCGUUACUUGUUAUUCAUGUAACUAGCAGAAUUAACCACAAAACUAUACUGCUGUUGUACAAGAUAAUGAUUGUGCAGUUAUCAUACAUUUACCGUUGAUUUUCUAUGGUAUUGAUUUUUUUUUGCGUUAUGUCUAUACAAUUAGUUGUACACAAUUAAUUUUUCUAUACCAGUACGUAUGAAUUAUCUUUCUAUACUAGUAAUGCCUAGGACCACCUCCUACCACUAAUUUUUUAAUCGGUUGAGCAAUAGUACUCCAUUAUACGUCCCUAUUUCUAUAAUUGAUUUGUUCAUCUGAGAACUUUAUUCUGCAGGUACGCAUCGGACUCGAUGCCCUUUAUCCCUGCGUAACAUACAAUUGAAGGGCCUGAAAAACUAGAGAUGGGAAGGAUUUCACAGAAGAAAUUCGAGACUUUCAAGAGUUUUUUUUUGAGGCAUUUCAUUAUUUAGAAAUGAUGUUAUUCAAGUGUUAACAUACACAUGUUCCAGGAUCUCAACAUACUGUUUGGGAGCAGAAAAUGAGUAAGCCAAACAUUAAAAAGUAUGCCUUUAAAUCGAGGAUAGGUUUAAUAUGUUUUGUUCAAAGUCAAGUCACUACUUUAUCUCCAGACCUAUAAACAAUAGGUCUCAAUUCGGGAGGAAGAACCGGUAUUGUGGUCAGCCCAUGGUAUGUGCUGCUGCAGUGUAAUCUAGGUGUAUUGGAUGAUAAAACAUGUAUAUGAAAUGUUUAAUUUUGCUCA